CCUACAACAGUGUUGCAACUGGAGAUUUCCGCCUCGCCGCUACUAGGAUUCUCUCGUCACUGCCAACACCUCACUGAAAUUAGGGUUCAUAACCUUUGGUCCUUGUUGAUUCUUCUGGCUCUGUUUCUCCAAAUCGAGUCUAUCAAAGUCAGGAGGAGGAGGUUUGCUUUAAAGGCUAGAGCAUGAGGAUGAUUCUGAUUUUCGUAUAGAAUGUCGAGUUGGUUUGAUAAGUGACGAGGAAUUUGACUGUUAAAGCAGCUGUCUUGGACUACAAAAGCAGAGAGGCAAUUACUAGCAGCGGUCUUCUAUUACUAGACCGCAUUGAAACUCUAUCUUAGUUGAGGAAUUUGACUGUUAAAGCAGCUGUCUUGGAUUAGGCCACCCAUCUAGUUUUCAUGUUUUGUUAUUGCCUCUCUGCUUUUGUUUCUUCAUAAGCUGAUCUCUCUCUUGAUCAGGCCAUUGAGACUAAGUUGCAAGAGUGUUUGAAGAAGGGUGUUUAUGGUGACAUAUACAAUUACUCGGAGCUUGACUGGAACAAGGUUCUUGGUGAAGAAAACCAGUGGCAGAGGGUGUUGAGGAAGAAGAGGAAAAGGUCAUUUUGUCUAACUGUUUUCUCUGUUUUGUUCAAAAUGUUUAUUGCUGAAUGAAGAACUAGCAGGAGCCAGAGAUUGAAUAUGUUAUGCCAUUAGAGACCACGAUGAUUGUUUUGUUGCUGAAUGCUUGUUGUCGAGUCUACAGAACUUUGGGAGACCACGAGAUAUAGAUAUUGUGGUUUAUAUCUUGCAAAGGGCUCGUAAUGGUGAUUUGCCUUGAGACAUGAGUAGCGAUGGCAGCAAGAUCUUUCUCAUCAGGGUGCUGUAACGUUAAUGGAACCUAAUGAAGAUUAUGUUUAGAUUAGUUUUAGAUUUUUCUUUUAAUUUAUUUUGGUGUAAACCUUUUGGUUUACUUUGAUAAACCGAUUAUAAUUUUGUAAACAAAUUUGAAACCCCAUAAAGAAAAUCUAAUAUUAUUAUGAAAUGUUAACCUUAA